GAACCUUCUCGUAGGAUGAACACAUGGUGUUAAGAGAGAAUAGGCCUAGUUUGAAGGCAAAGCGACCCAUGCUUCAUCCGUUGGCAUUGAAAGUUUUUCUACACUCAAGAUGCACCAUUACAUAGAGAGGUCUCGAACCCUCUCGUUCUCUCCCCACUGACCCAGGCGACUGAGAGGCGUUUUUGAGUAGUUCUCCCUCCGCCGGCGUGCGGCGCGUGCCCGCCGGUCCGCCCUGGCUCUGGCGGCCACUUUGGCCCCGGGAGGCAUGUCGGGCCCUAGCUCCUCGUCGGCGGUCGGGAUUAGGUUUCCUUGUGUGGGUAUUUGGUCCCUUAGUCGACCUCUUGGUAGAGCGGUGGUCAGCGGAUUUAGUAGGGAAUAAAGUCCCCCAACCCUUGCUCCUGCUCGCCGGAGGCUUCGCCGGCGCCAGUGGGAGGCAUGUGGAGGACAGGCGUAUGGAGCAGUUUUUUGUUUCGGCGGUGCGUUUUGGCGACCUCCUGCUAGGCGGUAAGGCCUCGUCCCCGGAUCCGGAGAUGAAGAUGCUCGCGGGGGGGGGGGGGGGGCAAACCUGCUUUCGGUUUCGCCUCCGACCAAUGUUUUCCAUCGCCAAGGAUCUAGGUCGCUGGGUUUGGUGGUUGCUGCGGUUCGUCAACUCCCUUAGGCAAGGGGUGUCUUCAGCUCCUUGGUUUGUUUUGGCUGCCGAUGUUCUCCUCUUUCGGCGACCGCGGAAGAUUUGGUCGGCUCGGAGAGUAGCAGUCUAUCCUCUUGUAUCCUCUUUGUAUUUUGUUGCUUGUAUGCGAAGCCGGAUUGUAUCCUUACUCAUAUGAAUACAAGUAGAGUACGCCUCUUUAAAAAAAAAGAUACACCAUUACAUGAACCAUGUCAAAAUGAAAUGAAUUAACACAAGGGUGCCAAGACUCAACCCUCAACAUUGUCUUCCGUUUUUUAAUUUCAAAAUGUAAACAAACUCCGAAAAGCCUGAAAAUACAUGUUGGAAAAUAUAUUCAGAUAGGGUACAGAAAAUAGAUUCCGUUCGAGUUAUCCAUGUCCAAGAACAAAUUUAAUUUAGUAAAAUAAAACAAAAAAAGUAAGGAAAAAAACCACGAAAAUGAAUAGUAGCAUGUGCGUUUCAAACCUAGCACGUCUUUGCAUUGCUAAUGCCAGAUAACCACUACAGUAAGCUACCAUUUCAAUGUAAAACACACACCGGACGUUUUUAUAGGAGGAAAUGAUUUUUUCUAGCCUGCUGCGUUCUGAUUGGACGAACCAGACCUCCCACGGAUCAAGCGUCUCCACCGUCCAUUCUUACCCGAUCCAACGGUCGCUGCUCCUUCUACUCUCUAUUUGUGCUUUCCCUGGUUCUUAUCCUCUCACACAGUACGCGAGCACGAUGCGAGCAGCAGCAGCAGAGCCCGACGAACUCCAGAGCUCGCAGCGGACGCAGGCCGCCGUCUGCGUGACGGGCCUCCGCCCGCACCUCCCACCGUAGCACGCCGCAAUGGAGGCCAAGCGCCCAUGGAAUCGUCUGAGCUCUCCUCCCAGCCGCCGUUCUCCUUCAAAUUCGUCGGGAUCCGGUUGGAUCUAGACGCCGGCGCCCCGUUCCCGACCUUCCCGCCUUGCUUGGGUCGUCGGCCACCGCGACGAUGUCAAUAUCGCUCGCGGGAUCCAGCGCCACCGCUGCUGGCCACUUCCUCGCCUGGAGGAGAUGCCCCCACAUCCGCGGCUCCCCACACGAGCAGCAGCAGCGAACACGUCGCUAAGGCCGUCUCCGGCGGUGUCUUUUUCUUUUUAUAGAAGUUUGCCAAAUCUGUGCCAGAACAGCCAUGGCGAUGAACUCCAGCUCAAGGCCCGCGAGCGCUUGGUGGCGUUUGAUGCGGUGCCUGGAGAAUAUCUCUGGGCAGAGUAGUAGGCCAGAUCUAGUUUAGGAAAAAAAAAUCUGUAAUUCCAAGUUUUUCUUGUGUAUUUCUUCUUUUUGGUAAAACAAAUUUUAGUUAUCUGGUA